CUCACAAAUGUUUCCUUCUCUGCCCUCAACAAACCUAAUCGACACCCUCUGUAUGAAACCCUCGUCCUUUGAUUAUCUCACAUAUUCAAUUAAGAAUUCCAAAGAUCUUCCUCCUUAUUUUUCUUCUCAAAACCAUCCAUUGCCAUAUCAGUUGCGUCUGAAUCCAAAUCAGAGACUAGGGAUUUCACCCCUGCUCUAGCUCAUCUCGAUUGUUGAACAUCAAUCGUCGUCCUUCAAUGCUCUAUUCACUACCUUUCUCUUCUGGUAAGCAACUGUUAAGUUGCAGAUGAUUAACUCCACCCAUUUUCUUUUAUUCUUCCUUCCAAAAUCAAACAUAAUCAUGCAACUCAUCUUCUUUGACGAUGUCAGAUCUUCUAUGACAUCGCGAUUUCUCCAUCAUUACAAACUCUUCAUCAUGAAGCUACGACACUUGAUUUUGAAGGAUCUGGACGGGUAGAAAGCUUAAGGUAUUAUUAUGCAGUAUAAGAGCUAUGUGUGGGGAGGAUUUAGAAAGAAACAGCGUUAAUGGUUCAGACUCACGUGAAUCAGCUGCAAGGGAAAUUUCAUUUUUCUUCCCUCAUUUACUUUCAGGAGGAACAACACUGAAGCAUGACGAACAACUGCCAAACACUACACAUUUGAGGGUCAUGGAGCACCUGUUUAUUUCGUAUGUCCGUAUUUUAAAGAAAACGUUGUAUAUGGUAUGAUACAACAGAUCAGAAAUCUAUUGUUUUGCAGGUCACAAUUGGCUGAUCGACGGACGACACCGAGGUUGAUAUUGAUCUAAGAAAAGAAGGUCGUGCCAAGAAGAUAUUCAGGCUGCAGGUGAUAAUCAUUGAAAGACCAUUUUAACCCUGUACUAAUCCAACCAAAUGAAACAUCACAUCUAUUGAUCCUCUAACAUCACAGUUUUCACUUAUAAUGUUCAAAUACGCAGGUUGACUAUUUUGUUCAUUGUCAUUACAUAGUCGUGGAUGAUAAUUUAUGGGAUAUAAGCGGCACGAAUAGCGGUAGUAAGGGCUACUUUCCAGUAGCCCAUAGUGGAGAAAUGCAAGUUUUUUUAUUAUUAGUUAGGGUUUGAGUUGAUUUAUUAGAAUUAUAGGAAGAAAUUGUAAUUUAGAAUUUUUUUUUUAAAUUUAAGUUGUGUUUAAAGGUUUCACUGAAGUUUGUUAAUGGCGGAGCUGUUAAUGUCGGUAAAUACGGUCCGAAUUGCACUCAUGUUAUUGUUGAUAAGCUUGUUUAUGUAAGUUUAACUUUUUUUUAUGUUAAAACCUACCCCCAUUAUCUUGCCUUUACAGCAGACGAGAUCCCGGAUGGCGAUACAUGUUUUAAGUGUGCGUCACCCGUUUGUGAAGCAGAAAACAGAUAAACUCUGGGAGGCCUUAAUGGAUGGGGAUAUUGACAUUCUAAGCUCUGAUCAUUCACCAUCAGACCUAGAGCACAAACUAUUCGUUGAAGGUCAAGUUAGGAAAAGCCUAUCAGCUAAGCCACAUGCAGAUGGUUAUUUCAUAUCUUUAAAGGUUGAGCAGAAGAAGCCCACAAAACCAGAGAAUGAACCGAGCAAACCUGGUUAUACCUCAAGUGUAGCAGCAGCAACAACUUUUAGAUGUUUCUAAGGUUAAUCUAAAGAAGUCACCGCCAUUAAGGUUCAUGCAACUUUUUGGCGUUUUUUGGCACGAAGAAAGUUGCGAGCUUUCAAAUGGCAUGUGAGGUUAAGAGUGUUGGUUCAAAGCUACGUAGUUAUUGAGCUCCAAAAUCAAAAACCGGUCACGGUCCGCUAUUCAAAUUGGGAUGUUUUAUUUCCAAAAUGUUACUACCUGAGCCAAAUUACAUUUCUAAACAUUCUUUGGUUUAUAGUCAAUUGUUUUUUUUUU